GCAGUCGAGCGAGCUUGCCUAGAUGAUUUUAGUGCUUGCACUAAAUGAAACUAGAUACAAGCGAGCGGCGGACGGGUGAGUAACACGUGGGUAACCUGCCCAAGAGACUGGGAUAACACCUGGAAACAGAUGCUAAUACCGGAUAACAACACUAGACGCAUGUCUAGAGUUUGAAAGAUGGUUCUGCUAUCACUCUUGGAUGGACCUGCGGUGCAUUAGCUAGUUGGUAAGGUAACGGCUUACCAAGGCAAUGAUGCAUAGCCGAGUUGAGAGACUGAUCGGCCACAUUGGGACUGAGACACGGCCCAAACUCCUACGGGAGGCAGCAGUAGGGAAUCUUCCACAAUGGACGAAAGUCUGAUGGAGCAACGCCGCGUGAGUGAAGAAGGGUUUCGGCUCGUAAAGCUCUGUUGGUAGUGAAGAAAGAUAGAGGUAGUAACUGGCCUUUAUUUGACGGUAAUUACUUAGAAAGUCACGGCUAACUACGUGCCAGCAGCCGCGGUAAUACGUAGGUGGCAAGCGUUGUCCGGAUUUAUUGGGCGUAAAGCGAGUGCAGGCGGUUCAAUAAGUCUGAUGUGA
rnacentral:rRNA from 1 species